UGGGUAACCUGCCUCAAAGAGGGGAAUAGCCUCCCGAAAGGGAGAUUAAUACCGCAUAAUAUGUUUAAGUCGCAUGACUUUAACAUCAAAGGAUUUUCUUUCAGAAAUUCCACUUUGAGAUGGACCCGCGGCGCAUUAGCUAGUUGGUGAGGUAGCGGCUCACCAAGGCAACGAUGCGUAGCCGACCUGAGAGGGUGAUCGGCCACAUUGGAACUGAGACACGGUCUAGAUCCUAACGGGG
rnacentral:rRNA from 1 species